UGGGGAAUAUUGGACAAUGGGCGAAAGCCUGAUCCAGCAAUGCCGCGUGAGUGAUGAAGGCCUUAGGGUUGUAAAGCUCUUUUACCCGGGAUGAUAAUGACAGUACCGGGAGAAUAAGCCCCGGCUAACUUCGUGCCAGCAGCCGCGGUAAUACGAAGGGGGCUAGCGUUGCUCGGAAUCACUGGGCGUAAAGCGCACGUAGGUGGGUCGUUAAGUCAGGGGUGAAAUCCCGGAGCUCAACUCCGGAACUGCCUUUGAUACUGGCGACCUUGGAGUCCGGGAGAGGUGAGUGGAACUGCGAGUGUAGAGGUGAAAUUCGUAGAUAUUCGGAGGAACACCAGUGGCGAAGGCGACUCACUGGACAUGUAUUGACGCUGAGGUGCGAAAGCGUGGGGAGCAAA
rnacentral:rRNA from 1 species